ACCGCCAGCACCUUGGCGAUAUAGGGGAUCAGCGGCAGGUUCAGAAUCAGCAGGAUCAGGUUGCCCAGAUACAUUGAGAUAAUCACUGCCCAGAAAAUCUGCGGCUCAUCUAUCAUCAGACGGGGGCC
rnacentral:ncRNA from 1 species